UUAAUUGAAGAGUUUGAUCAUGGCUCAGAUUGAACGCUGGCGGCAGGCCUAACACAUGCAAGUCGAGCGGCAGCACAGAGGAACUUGUUCCUUGGGUGGCGAGCGGCGGACGGGUGAGUAAUGCCUGGGAAAUUGCCCGG
rnacentral:rRNA from 1 species